UACCAGCACCCCGAGUGGUCGGGACGUUUAUUGGGCGUAAAGCAUCCGUAGCCGGUUCUACAAGUCUUCCGUUAAAUCCACCUGCUUAACAGAUGGGCUGCGGAAGAUACUAUGGAGCUAGGAGGCGGGAGAGGCAAGCGGUACUCGAUGGGUAGGGGUAAAAUCCGUUGAUCCAUUGAAGACCACCAGUGGCGAAGGCGGCUUGCCAGAACGCGCUCGACGGUGAGGGAUGAAAGCUGGGGGAGCAAACCGG
rnacentral:rRNA from 1 species